rnacentral:rRNA from 1 species
UACGAACCGGGCAAGCGUUAUUCGGAAUUAUUGGGCUUAAAGCGAGCGCAGGCGGCUCCAUAAGUCGGGGGUGAAAUCCCUCGGCUCAACCGAGGAACUGCGCCCGAUACUGUGGUUCUUGAGGGAGACAGGGGUAAGCGGAACUGAUGGUGGAGCGGUGAAAUGCGUUGAGAUCAUCAGGAACACCGGUGGCGAAAGCGGCUUACUGGGUCUCUACUGACGCUGAGGCGCGAAAGCUUGGGUAGCGAACGGG